rnacentral:rRNA from 1 species
CGCGUAGGCGGCUUCGAUAGUCGGGCGUGAAAUGCCUGGGCUCAACCCAGGAACUGCGCUCGAAACUUCGAGGCUAGAGUGUGGGAGAGGAUAGUGGAAUUCCCAGUGUAGAGGUGAAAUUCGUAGAUAUUGGGAAGAACACCGGUGGCGAAGGCGGCUAUCUGGACCACAACUGACGCUGAGGCGCGAAAGCGUGGGAGCAAACA